AGAUCGAAUGAGGAGAUUCAUCGUCAAUAUAUUUAAUAUAUAUAUAAGUUAUGAUGUAAAUUAUUUUUCUCUUUAUGAGUUUUAUAAUAUAUACAUACUUGUAUUAUUUUAAUGUUAAAUAUUUUCGACGUGCACUUCUUCUCUAGUAGGACGUUGCGACCCGUUAAAUGUUGAUCUAUGGCCUAAUUGGGUAGCCUUUAAUCAUAAAAAAUUAAAGACCAAUUUGUGUUUCCUGAUUAACUGUUUGGCGGUAAUCAUAUGAUAAUAAGUCGCAUAUUUAUAUGCGUUCAUACCCAUCGCAAGCGAGGCCAGUUUAUUAUCCUGGUAGUUACGGACAUAGUGCCGUCGCUAGGCCUGGCCAGCUGUUAGCUGUAUGGUGUUCUAGAACUGACUUAAAAAAAAAUUAUCGGUCGGCAAUGCUACUGCUUUGGGUACUUUCAGGACCCGUCUUGAAACACGGACCAAGGAGUCUAACAUGUGCGCAAGUCAUUGGGAUUUUUUUAUUAAAUUAAACCUAAAGGCAUAAUGAAAGUAAAGAUUAUCCUUGUGAUAAUUAAGGGGAGGAUGGUUUUAUGUUACGAUAUAUAACCGCACUCCCGGGGCAUCUCAUUCUCAUUAUGAGAAGAGGUGCACCAAGAGCGUACACGUUGGGACA
rnacentral:rRNA from 1 species